ACGAAGGUCCCAAGCGUUGUUCGGAAUCACUGGGCGUAAAGCGUGCGCAGGCGGCGGGGUAAGUCAGAUGUGAAAGGCAGGAGCUCAACUCCUGGACUGCAUCCGAUACUGCCUUGCUCGAGUAGUGGAGGGGAGUCUGGAAUUCUCGGUGUAGCAGUGAAAUGCGUAGAUAUCGAGAGGAACACUAGUGGCGAAGGCGAGACUCUGGACACUUACUGACGCUCAAGCACGAAGGCCAGGGUAGCGAAAGGG
rnacentral:rRNA from 1 species